rnacentral:rRNA from 1 species
AACGAACGCUGGCGGCAUGCCUAACACAUGCAAGUCGAACGAGACCUUCGGGUCUAGUGGCGCACGGGUGCGUAACGCGUGGGAACCUGCCCUUAGGUUCGGAAUAACUCCCCGAAAGGGGUGCUAAUACCGGAUAAUGUCUUCGGACCAAAGAUUUAUCGCCUUUGGAUGGGCCCGCGUUGGAUUAGCUUGUUGGUAGGGUAAAAGCCUACCACGGCGACGAUCCAUAGCUGGUCUGAGAGGAUGAUCAGCCACACUGGGACUGAGACACGGCCCAGACUCCUACGGGAGGCAGCAGUGGGGAAUAUUGGACAAUGGGCGAAAGCAUGAUCCAGCAAUGCCGCGUGAGUGAUGAAGGCCUUAGGGUUGUAAAGCUCUUUUACCCGGGAUGAUAAUGACAGUACCGGGAGAAUAAGCUCCGGCUAACUCCGUG